UAUAUAUAUAAUAAGAAAUUGGACCCGAUUUCGUUUCUGGACACUAGCGUUGUCCAUCGCCGCUGUCGUCGCCAACGUUGUUGUGUUUUUUUUUUUGUCUGGUGGUUGAGUGAAACAGUGAAAGAACGGCAAAUCCAGUGGAAAAAGUACGGCCCGAUACCCGAUACCGAUACCAAUAUCAAUAUCAGCCAUACAAAUAUCGAUAACGAUACCGAUGCCGAUAACAAGCUACGAAAACCCAAAGCAAAACCAAAAUUAAACAAUUGAUAUUUUGUAAUUAUAGCCACAGACAAUUUUCGAUCAAGUCCAUUAGACGACGCUCGCAUUUUUCACAUGCAUAUCUACUGAUCCAGCCAUAAUCAACGCAAAAUCGCAAGUGGGCCCCUACCAACUAAAUCAGAAGAGUUACGAUCUACCAUAUAAAACCAUCCAGAAACAAUCGAGUUGACAGUCAGCAAAAGCUAAAACGAGCAGCCGAGCAGCAGAGCAGCAGAGCAGCAGAGCAGCCGAGCAGCCCAGCAGCAGCUACAGUGAUCGAUAUUUGACUCAAGAGGAACCUUCUUUGCCGUACCUAAACAGGCUGCUCUUCGUUUCAUACCAGAUAAUCACUGACACAGCUGACGCCGCAUCGUUAUCAUAACUCUAACAACUGAAUAUUGGGCCAUUGACAACAACAACAACAACAACAACAAAAACAACAAAAACAGCAACAAGAACAACAAGAAAACAAUUACCAAUAGCCAGGCCCAAACCGUAACAGUCAAAUCAAUCUAUCAAAGCUAGCAGGAAUCUGUUUUCACCUAAUUUGGCCAAAUUGACGCAUUUAACAGGGUUUUUUUUUUCGAUUCGGACAACAUUUUAACAUCAACAGUUUUUCUUCGAAAUUCACUGAAAA